CCAAUUAACCAGGAAAAAAAAAAAGAUAGAAGUGAAAAUUUGGCUAGAGUGCCAACCUUGAAAGUGUAAGGCAUGAGUUCAAGCACCAGUAUUGGCACAAAAACAAAACUUUUAAAUAUCUGUUCAAGAGAAAAGAAGCCAUGAGUGUGCUAGGGAAAAAUUGGAAGAUAAGUAAGAAAUUUCAAAUUGAAAUUCUAGAGGGAAAAACACAAUAUCUAAAAUGAAAAGUAUAUAGGGUGGGACUGAUAAGAUAUAGAAGAAAAAAAAUAGUGAAAAUACAGUAACAGAAAUUAUUCAAAAUUAUUCACACAG